UAUAUAUUUCUAAUUUCUCAAAAAAUAAAUUAUAUUUCAGAUGUCUACAUUAUUUUAGUUCGAGCAACAAGUUGAAAAUUCACACUGUGGAAAGAUAAACAACUGCGCUAUCAGAUUACCGAGCAAAGAUGACAAAUGGCUGAGCUUUAAAAAUUAUUGUCGAAAGGAACGAAUGCCGUUUAUCGUAUACGCCGAUUUAGAAUCUUGGAAAAGACAGAGGAGGAGAAAAAUUACCAGCAUCAUCGAGUAUUUAGCAAAGCAUAUUAUGUACACUGCGUGUGUGACAAUUUGCUAUCAAUGUAUCGGUUUCAUCGAGAUAAGAAUUGUAUCGCGUAGUUCCUCGAGCAACUUGAAGAUUUAGCACAAAUUGUAAAUAAUAUUCUGUCGGUUAAUGUUCCCAUGGAUUUAACGCAAGACAAUUGGAAAAAAUUUAACAGCGCUACACACUGCCACAUUUGUGAAAAACUAUUUACAAAUGAAACAGAACAAGUACGCGAUCAUUGCCAUUUAACUGGUCGAUUCAGAGGUGCAGCGCAUUCAAAUUGCAAUUUAAAUUACAAAGAUUUACAUUGUAUUCCUAUAGUUUUCCAUAACUUAUCUGGCUACGAUGUGUAUUUUAUCAUCAAGGAAAUAGCUACAGUAUAUCAAGGACGAAUAGAUUUACUUCCGAUAACAAAAGAAAAAUAUAUUUCGUUUACAAAAAAUGAUCAGAAAAAUUGCAUUAAGAUUUAUCAAUUCUUUCAAAUUUCUCGCAUCUAGUCUCAAUAAAUUGGCAUCUCUUCUUAGCAAGGAUAAGCUAUGCAUAAUGCAACGGGAAUAUUGUAAUUUAUGAACAAAAAAUUUUGAUCUAUUAAUACGAAAAGGUGUUUUUCCUUACGAGUGCAUUAACUGUGUAGAAAAAUUGGAAGAGUCAUGUUUGCCACCGGUCGAGUCAUUUUAUAGUUCAUUGACGGGUAACACAGUAUCCGAGAGCAAUUACACACGCUGUCAACGUGUGGCAGUGGUUCUCCAUCCGAACGCUCGGAGACUAUUCGCGAUGCUCACGACCGAUGGUGGCGCUAGUGUUACUCUGGUCACGUGGUCUGUAAAGAGGUUAAAGCAGAAGACCUUCUCUCGAUCACGAUUUUAUUUUAUCAUUUUUGAUUAAUUACCUACUAUUUUUGCUGCUUCGGCAUCAUGUUUCUACGACUAUUUCAAAUAUAUGAAUUUGCAAAAGUAAAUUUCAAUAGUCGAAACAUGAACGAAGGUGAAGAAGUUUUAAAAUCUGGCCAAGUAAUUACUGUUGGUUGCAAAAAAACUGAAAAUAGUGACUCAACGAAACAUAUUUUGGGUCUUGUGUUGUAAACGAGCGCAUUGAAAUUAUUUCGGCAUACGGUGGAAGGUAUAAUAAAUAUUAUAAAUGAAAGCCCGAUUAUUCAAAAAAUGACGUGGUCGUGUAAGGCGGGGUUAUCUGGCAAUUGUAAGCAUAUCGUAGCUGUUUUACUUUUUUUGGAAAGGUAUAGUUAUUAAGGUAUUUAUGAAAUAAAAUUGAAUUAAUUAAAUAUAUUAAAAAUCCGGAAAAACUAAUAUAUUUCAAAAAAUAACUUUUAAUAAUAAAUUUUGUUGAAUGAUAUUUUGAAAUUAGAGGAAUUGUCUUGCACUGAUUUAAAAUGCAUUUGGACUUCACAAAAAAGUACCGUACAGGAAGAAUUUGGCCCUGCUGAAAUCAAAUCAUUCUGCUGCCUUUCAAAAGUUGAUAAUAUCGAAAUAAGUGUACCUGAUUUAUUUGACAAACUCUGUAGUCUAAAUCCAAAUGAAGCAGUAUCGAUACACAAACGUGGUCGUGGUACAUCAAUAAAGCCUUGUGAAAAAAAGAUAGGACACAUUGAAAUUCCAACAGAGAUUAGAGUCAUUAUAGAACACAGUUUAUUUGAUAAUACUUCAAUUAAUGUAAUAUCAAAUUUGUCUCCAGUUCAGCUCAGUUCAUGUUGUUUAUCAAUAUUAAAUAGUUUGCAAAUAACCGAUGCUGCCAAAUUAUGUUACGAUACAAUAAAAUCUCAUAUAGCAUGGAAUGAAGCAAGAAAAUUUAGAAUAUCCGGUUCAAGAAUUUACAAUAUUUUUACUUAUUCCAAAAAUAUAAAACCAAAUUGGGAGCAAAAAUCAAAAUCUUAUUUUUGGCCAAAAGAAAUUAAAAAUAAUUACAGGACAAAAAGUGGUAAAAUGUGGUUUUGUCGUUCAUCCUCAAUGCUCGUGGGUUGGAUAUUCGCCCGAUGGAAUUAUUUUUGGCGCAAGUGGUCCGGAGUUGUUAUUAGAAGUUAAAUGUCCUUAUGAAAGAAAAACGAAAACAAUCAAUGACUGCUUAAACUGUUGCUCUUUUUUGGAGAAAGAUUAUACUCUUAAAAGGAAACAUUCGUACUAUGGACAAAUUCAGUUGAGUUUACUUAUAUUAAACAUUCAGAAAUGUGACCUUGUUGUCUAUUCAUCCUUUGAUAAAUCUAUGUACAUUCUAGAAAUUCUGUAUGAUAAAAACUUUGCCAUUGAUAUGCUGACUAAUGUUCGCUAUGUUUAUUUGUCAAAAAUGCUGCACUGCUUAUGUAAGGAAAACGAUAAGACCGAAGAAAAUACAACAUUAAAUAUUUAAAUUAUUUUGGAAUUUAUUUUAGUAUAUUGCAAAAAUUAUUACAAAAACAUUAAAUCAUAUUUUUAUUAGUAUAUUAUUAAUAAUCUAGUUUAAAUAUAAUAUCUUUAUACAUAUAUAAACAUCUAUUAAACUAAGUAGUAGAGAAAAUCACACAUUAUCACCAUUGAAAUCAUCACAAUUUUAGGAAUACAACUAAAAUGCUAUGUUAGUAUGUUACUGUGGUGAACAAAAGAGUUGCAACUAAAAUGCUAUGUUAGUAUGUUACUGUGGUGGACAGAAGAGUUGCAACAUUUUUUUCGAUGGUUUUCAGAAUGUAUCCUGUUCACCGAGUGAUUGAUAAUUUAUUCUUACCUGUGGAUCCAAGCAAUUACGUUCGAUGAGCAAGGCUGUUCUAAAACAUCGAAAAAAUGUGUUGCCCCUAUUCUGUCCUUCAUUGUACAUGCCUCAUUGUAAUUUUAAAAUUUGUCAGAAGAUAAGAUUGGAUUAGAUAUAUUAACCAAAACACAUGCAAUAAUAAAUAUAUAGUCUGCAUAAGCAAUCAAAUUCCAUGGAAAACGAUUAUUUAGAAUUUUAAAGAUUUUGAUUCUUUGAUUAACUCUUUCAAUAUGAACCCUCGCCGCAGCUACAUUCCUAUUUUGUUCAGCUUCUUCGGGCGACAACUGUUUCUUAGCGCGUAAAAACGGUGGCUGAAUUAGUUCUAUAUUAUAUGAAGCACAUUCAUAUUCAAUUAGAAAUCCCUUGUCUACCAUAAUUGCGUCUUAACCACCUGUCAUUUUUUCUAAUAGGCCAGAUUUCAUAAAAAUAUGUUUAUCAGACACCCUACCACCGUAUCCUGAACUUACGUAUAAUAGUGUUCCGGCCGGUGUAACACCUGUUAAAUAUUUAAUAGUAAAAUUACAUUUGUACUGGGAGUAACAUCGAAUUCGACAACGAAGACAUUUCGGUUUUUCAAUUGGCACUUCGGUACCAUCAAGAAUCACUCUAGUUUUUCUAUAUUUUUCGAAACAGCAUGGCAUAUUAUUAUCAAUUUUUUCACGACAAGGCCAAUAUCACAAGGCCAAAUCAAUUGUGAUACGACAGUCAAUAAAACAACUAGAUUUAAAUAUUCUUGCUGCCUACUUACAACAGAAAAUAGAAAAGCAAGUAUAGUGUAAAAUAAAUCUUGUAUUAUCUUCAUGAGAGUCAAAAGAAUUUGUUCUUUUACAGAUAAAUGGCCUUUUCUAUUAGAAUACUUUACUUGUUCAAUAAUUUGAACUAGUUUAUUUAAGAUUUCUAUUGUAGGAAGACCGGUGAGUGUAUUAAGAACUUCAUCCGAAGUUACGUAAAAUAGAAUAGAGCGAGGGCGUACGUCUCCACUAGUUACUUGAGUGCCAACGUUUCUUUUGCUAGCUUUUGAUAAAAGAGAACCUUCGCAUGCCUUCAAUUCUUUUUCAAAUGCACAUGCAUCGAAAUUGAAAUUUCCUUUAUUUUGAGAAGAUUUUUUUUCUGCAUCUUUUUCUGAAGUGACGACGUUAAUCAUAAGGCAGUUACUUAUUUCCCUAAUAGAAAUAUAAUAAUUAAAAUGAUGCAACAUUUUACAUGCCCAACAUAUGCUAAAAAUCAUUUACAAGAAACUCCGAAAAACAUAUUUCAAAACACACCCAAGCAUUAAUUAUAAGACUUGCAUUUGUUAAAAGAUUAUUAAAAGAUUAUUAAAAAACACUUAAUAUGCAAAUACUUAUAUGUAUAAUAAAAUUAAAUAAGUCUGCAAUUUCACACUCUGAGCAAAAUAUAGUCAAUCUAUUACCUUCAAUCAAAUUGGCCAAUACUAUACCUUUUUACAGCAUAUUGAUUCAAUUUUUUCACAAAUUGAUAAGUUCCUGAUUCUACAUGUUAAGCAUUUGAAAUAUGAAAUUAGCAAAAUCAGGUUUCCAAAUCUUUUUACCUUUGUGCUUCCAAUUGCUCAUUUUUACAAUUUUGAAAAUUUAUUUGUUGACGACUUCUAUUUUCUCGAGGUCUUGCUAUAGGUUUUUGUUUUUGGGUUGCAUGCUUGGGAGUUGAUGGGAGAUUCAACGAAGGAAUUGCAUUCUUUUUUAAAACUUUUCUGCGCGAAUUUUCACCUAAAAUAAAAUAAAAAGUAUAAAAACUAAAAAAUCAGAAAAACGAACUGGAUAUUUUGUAAUUUACCUAAAUAACAAAAGUCUUCUUUAGUAAAGUGCUUUGAGCAUACUUUCAUGGUAUUACUACAAGCUUUCCCAAAUUUAAACUUGUUUAACCAAACACUUCGCAAGUCGAGUAUUUCGGUGUUUCCAAAAUAAUUUUUAAUUUUUACUGUUACAGCUUUUGCUUUUGGAAAUAAAUGAAAUGAUAAAUUUCGGUCUUUACUUGCAGUCGAAUCACAUCCUGGUACACUGCAAUUUACUUUUGAUUUUGUACAUUUUUUGGGCGAAAAAAUCGCAAUUUUUUCUGAAAACAAUAUAUUUAUAACUCAUAUUUCACAUGCAAAAUAGGCUCUCUAACCUCUACUAUAUUUUGUGUACAUUUUGAGGCAAUCACAAAAAAGUAUCUAAUGUUUAACUUACUUUCUGCAGACAUGACUGAAGAUAUAAAUAAUAAAAUUCACAAAUAUCAUUAGUUGUCCGAAAUUGAAUGAUAAACACAAUCACAGCUGACCCUACUUACAGUAGUUCCGAAAUUGACCACCAGAUAGCGUAUCGCUAGGCAAACAUCGCGAAUAACGAUUUAUACUUAAAAACCGACAUACUGUUGUUGGCUGAUAUCUUUGAGAAUUUCCGCGACAGUUGCAUCGCGAGUUAUGGACUCGAUCCCACGUAUUAUUACACUUUACCCGGUUUCACGUGGGAUGCAAUGUUGAAACAUACACACGUAAAUUUCGAACUGCUGACAAACAUUGACAUGAUCAUGUUCAUCGAACGUGGCAUACGUGGUGGUCUGAGUCAAUGUUCAAACAGGUACGCACAGGCCAACAACAAGUACAUAAAGUCAUACGAUCCAUCGAAAUCAUCAUCGUACCUGAUGUACUUUGAUAUAAAUAACUUGUAUGGUUGGGCAAUGUGUCAACCAUUACCAUACAAAGAUUUUCGAUGAGUGCAUGACGUAACAAAUUUUAAUUUUAUGGACAUUGCGCUAGAUUCUCCAACAGGUUACAUUCUUGAAAUAGACUUAGAUUAUCCACAACAUUUACAUGAUGUGCACCUUGACCUACCGUUUUGUCCCAUGCGCGAUAAACUGCCCGGCAAGCGGCAGGACAAGCUCCUCGCAACCUUAUACGAUAAGAAACGUUACGUCAUACAUUAUCGUAACCUGCAGCAGUGUACUCAUCACGGCCUUUGAGUAACAAAAAUACAUCGCAUAUUACAGGUUGCGCAAUCACCAUGGUUUCGCAAUUAUUCAUCUAAAUACAUAUUUUAGAACAUGUGCCAAAAACGAUUUCGAAAAAAACUUAUAUAUAUUAGUGAACAACGCGGUAUUUGGCAAAACCAUGGAAAACGUGCGCAAUCACGUCGAUGUGCGACUCGUGACAAAAUAGAAAGGCAGAUACGGCGCGGAGGAAAUGAUCGCUAUGCCAAAUUUCCACAGUCGUAGUAUUUUUUCGAAGAAUUUGGUUCCAAUCAAAAUGCGUAAGCUUGAGGUAAAAAUUGACAAACCAAUCUAUGUGUGUAUGUGCAUCCUUGACAUAUCUAAAACAUGUUUGUAUGAAUUUCAUCAUGAAUACAUGGCGCCGUUGUUUCGCGAGAAAUGUAAAAUUAUGUAUACUAAUACGGACAGCUUAAUAUAUAACAUUGAAUGUGAUGACGUAUACAAAAUUAUAAAGCGCGAUAUUAAUAAAUUCGACACGAGUGAUUAUGCGGUUGAUAAUGCAUACGGUAUUCCGCUUGCUAAUAAAAAAGUGUCGGGAUUAAUGAAGGACAAAAACAAUAGUGCGAUCAUGACCGAAUUCGUAGGGCUUAGAGCAAAGAUUUAUGCCUUGCGCGUUGGUGGUAAAAAAAGACACGAAGAAAGUCAAAGGAAUCAAAAGCAACGUUGUAACAAAAUCGAUAACUUUCGAUGAUUACACGCGAUGCUUGCAUGAUGAGAUUGAAAUGACGCGAUGCAAUCAAGUAUUAGAUCAAAAUUGCAUGAGGUGUAUACUAUAUCAGAAACAAAAAUUGCUCUUAGUCCGUAUGACGAUAAGCGAUAUAUUAUGUCAGAUUCUAUCAACACGUUGCCUUGGGGACAUUAUAAAAUACCAAUGUAAAUAAAACACUUAAUUUGUAUAAUAUAUGUAUAUUUGUGUAAUUGUAAUAAAAAUUACAAAUAUCAUGUAAAUAAGUAAUAAAUUUUUUACAACGCAUUAUUCUUGUGUAUCCACAAAGUGUGUGAAUUAUCAAAUCCCAACCAUUUCACAUAAACCUUAUCCCCUCUUUUGCGUAAAAUUUUUUCAACGAGAUACAAGUCAGGAUUACCGAUUCGCUGGAGCUCAUACUCGUUAAAUCGGUCGGUGAUAUGUUUUCCACAGGAAUCUUUCAAUAAAUACGUCAAGGGAUUGGUUCUCUGCACUUUGGCAAUUUUAAAUAGUAGUCCAAUUCGGUGUAUAACAUUUAUCAAAAAUGGUCUUAAAUUUGCUCACGCGUAUCGAUUCACUCACUUUGAAUCGCGUGAAUGCAGCAAUUUUUAUGCGACUAUUCACAGUGAAUAAAAGUUUUUCGGCAAUCGCAGGGGUAACAUUGAUAGGUCGCAUACCAAUAGUAUGAUGCCUUCGCGAGUUGUAUUCUGAUACGAGACAUGGCAACAAAUCGAUCCAUUUAUAAUUUCCAUUAAUCGUAAACUGCUUCCACAUGUCGUUCUUUAAUGAACGGUUGAACCGUUUGACGACUGACGCCUUCAUUAAGGAAUAUGUUGAAUAAUGAUUGAUAUCAUGUUUUUUCAAUAGUUUCUGUACCGUGGCGUUGUAAAAUUUCUUUCCUCUAUCAGUCUGCAAAUUUUUCAGACAUCUUUCAGCGUCUCAAAUUAUCUUUGUAAUUGCAUUAGCCACUUCAUUGCCACUCUUGGCCUUGAGAAGCAUGGUCCAUGCAUACUUGCUCAACACAUCGAUAACGGUAAGUAUGUAAUGGUAACCUCGGUUAAAUCUCACGUAAGGUCGCAUCUCAACCACAUCCGCUUGCCACAGGUCAUCGUAUUCGCGAACAAUGACGUGCCUGCUCGGAAAAUUUCUUCUUACUGGAGCAUGAAGUUUCUCCACUAACAGCUGCUUUUCGGAAUUGUUCACGUUUGAUUCAUAAAUGAUGUAGAGAUCUAAUGUAUCGUUUCUUCUACUCUGCGCUAUGAGUCACUGUAUCGAGUUGUCUUCGAAUUUCGUUAAGCAUAAUCUCCACUUUAUUUUGGAGAGUAACAAUCUUUCUCUCGAUUUCGUCUUGGUGAUCUUUCAAAAUUUGUAUGCUCUGUUGUACGUAUCGUUUAUUGGCAGCAUCGCCAUUAUCUACAGGUAGCGCUACGUGACGAAUCUUGCGUGACUUUGCACCAAAAUUGGCGUUGACCAUGCAAAGAGCGUUUUCGUGGACGUAACUUCUUAUUAAUCCGCUCCAUUUGUAAUACGAUUCCGUGCCGCUACUUCCGAGCGAUAUCCCAAACUUAUUGAUUGACAUUUCAACGUUCACUAAAAUAAUAUGAAUAGUGCGACUCAAUUUAUAAUUAAACCAGCUUCGCAAAGUUCCUCGAUAAUCGACAGGAUCUUGUUAUCGUGAGCGUUAUGUUCAGCUUGGCGCAAGGCCUCGAGCAAUCAAAGACAAUCAACGAGUUCGUUCGGAUUGUCCCAAUGAACGUAAUUAAUUUUGUUGUCGUUUAAUGUAACGGUGUUCGGUAUACCUCGUCCAACUUUAUCCAGUGCUAACAUGGAAGAGAUUAUAUUUUUAUACCUGUGUUCUUUGUUACCCAGUAUUGGAUUACAUUCGCCAUAAUCUCGCCUAUGUGCGUUUGUAGUUAAUACAAUAUCCUUAUACUUCUCCGUAUCGUCAUUCGUGUAGAUAUCAACGUUGGGUAUUUUCAUGAAAAUUAACUCGUACCUUGAGUACCCUUGUAUCUUUUACCGUCUAUGAAUCGUUCUUGUGCAAAUCGAUACGUUUGUUACCAAUCAUCAUUCCAGUAUUGCUGAAGUAAACUCCGUAAAUUUUAUCUACGUUGACCGUUUUCUUACCGCUCAAAACAGCUCUUAUAUAUUUUUGCCUCAAUGGACCAUAAUGUAUUUGUAAUUCAUUUUGCCCCUCAGACGUUUUCAACUGCUGUCGAACAGACAUCACAAGCGGCUUGUCGGUGAUAUCAAAAACCUCUUUAACAGAGAGUGCAUGAUUCUGCAAUAAAUCGCUAUCCUUUAACAUUUGUGAUGCUUUAUUAAAAUUAAUUAGCACAGUUUACGAUUUAAUUAAAGUAGAAGUCAUUAUUGAAUUAUUAAACGAAAUAUUCGACCGUUUUUGUUUUGCCUCCGCGUUUUUUUUAUCUUCCAAAAAGAAUGCUUUGCUCUCAGCCGGUUUAGAAUCAUCUCCAACAAUAUUUUCAACUCCAACGGUAUUUUCAAUAAUCUGUUUUAAUGGUUCAAUGAUUGGUCUGAAAUGUCUUUCCAAUGUCUUUUCCAUUUUAUCUUUUUCCAUUUUACCCGUUUUUAAUGCGCGAUAUUUUUUGCGAAUCGUGUUACUCGUUUUUACAAUCUGUUUAGCUAUCUUCUCGCUAUCCAUGUUACUAUCCAUGUUGAACAUUCAAUGUAUUGACGACAACUAAUCAUUUUACGGUAUUGCAAAGGUAUUGUUAAAUCCUUUUCUAUCUUCCAUCGACAAGCGCGCUGUCCUUGUUUAUCACUAGAAAUUCAUAUUUUUGGUGCCAACAAAUCGCAAAAAUCCUCGUAAGACAUGUCAGUGUUUACAUAAUCGUUGUAUACAUGCUUCAAAUUGGUGCCAUCCUAUUUGAACAUGAUUAACAAAUUCGCAUUGUCACGUAUAAGAUGCUUCAGUAUCUUGGCAUACGUCUGACAGAGAUAGAAGUAGUUAACGUCCGCAUGUUGACUCAUUGCAAAGUACUCUUUUAUUGUGUCUUGCUUGUCGCAUGCCACAUCAUCAAAGAUAAAGAUGGAAUUCGGAAGCGCUUUGCUCGGAGGAAUGACGUCACUGCUGUUGGAGAAUGCAAAAUACCCAACUUCUUCAAUCGGUGAUAAUAAGUUUUCCAGAUAUCGAUAUUUCGCCUGCUGAAUCAGUUUUGAGUACACAUAUACGUUCUUGAAACGUACAUCGUGCGGACUUUCCAGCAUGCUUUUCAACACGUUUGUUUUGCCGCAAUUUGAUGAGCUGCAAAUGAUGCCGCGUAUAGAAAUCGGUAGCAUAUUUCCAUGUCUGCGUGUUUUUAUUUCGGGUGUUAUCUUAUCAUCAAAAUUAAUUACUCUGAUUGCCUGCGGUUGUAGCACAAACCGCAUAUAUUCUUUCCCUCUACGGUAACAAUAAACUGAAAAAUUUCUAUUGAGGGUAGGUUCUAUUUAUAGAGGCGCGUUGAGUGAAAUCGCUUAGUAUGCAAAAUGUUUCUUAUCGUCAGAUAUCUGAGAUGUACACAGUUUGACUAGCGAACAGUUAAAAUAUAUACCAAAAGUCGUUUUGCUACAAAAGUUUCACAAUUACAUCGAUCAUUUAUGGGACAAAUUGCCCAAGCAUACAAAAAUAGAUUCGGAGGUUCAGCAGUACCGUCGGUGUUUCAAACAUUAUAAUUUACCGUCUCAGCAUACGCAUACAGACGGUCCGGCGCCGUUGAGAAAGAAUUGCUGCAAAUGUCUGCGAAAGGCUGCGGUUUGUUAAAUCGCGCGAUUAAUGCACUUCCUUUCGAAUUACAUAUCCCCGAUUAUCAGUAUUGCGGUCCAGGAACACGUUUAGAAGAGCGAUUGGCCCGAGGUAACCGAGGGAUCAAUCCGUUGGAUGCAGCGUGUCGUGAGCUUGAUAUAACCUAUUCGCACAGCAACGAUCUUGCGAAAAGACACGUGGCUGAUAAUAUACUCGCCUCAAAAGCACGGAAACGCAGUAUAGCAAGAGAUUCAAGUCUUGGAGAGAGAGUUGCUGCGACACCAGUUUGGGCGGCUAUGAAAACCAAGAUGAAAAUCGGUAUGGAUCUGAAAUCAAAGAAAAAGAAGACAACGCGCAAACGGAUACUUCUGGUAGCAAAACGUGGUGGUAUCCUACCCGUCCUGCGAGUGUUGGGAAUUCUCGGGUCAUUGAUCGGACAAGCGGCUGGAGUAGCGAAGGCCGUAAAUCAUAACAAAGCGGCGCAGCGUCAACUAGAGGAAUUAAAACGUCAUAAUCGUAUCAAAGAAGGUCAUGGAGUUUAUUUCGCUCCGUAUAAGCGCGGUCGAGGAGUAUCGACAAAAAAACAUAAAAAUGUGGACAAAACAUUAAAAAUGCCAAAAGGUGUUACUACAAACCGUGAAUUACUUCAACUAGCAAAACCUAUGCUUCCAUAUUUCCAAAGAAUUUUCAUGCGUACUUUAUUACCAACGGGGGGGAGCACGCCAAAACGAGAGCGGUAUUAUGAAUUUGGACAGUGUCAAAGGACCGGGUACUCAUUGUGUGGCGUAUGCGAAGAGGGGGAAUCGUGCUAUAUAUUUCGACAGUUUUGGUAAUCUUCGACCAUCGCAAGAAUUGGUACAAUGCUUUCAUAGUGAUUUGACACGUAUCAAGUAUAAUCACGCGCGUUAUCAACGUUACAAUCAAAGCAACUGUGGUCAACUAUGCCUACGUUUUCUACAAUCGGUCGACAAUCAAUUUAAAGAUCAACAUUUCGCUAUUUAACUCAGUAUACAUGUCACUGACGUUUACGCUAACUGACAAGAGUAGCGUCCUUGCGGUAAGCUACUUUCCAGCUGUAAAUUUAAACGAUGGUGAUUACGAGCUCGGUCUGACAGAUUUUAAAACCUGUAAUAUGAUACUUAAUAUAAGUUCCUUGAAUAAAAAAUUUUACUAUGACAAUGACGACAAGAAAAUUAUUAUUCCCAAAGGAUUGUACGAACUGCGUGACAUUGACAAGUAUCUAAGACAUGCAAUAUUUCAUGUCCCAAACGAUAUUACUAGAAAGAAGUUGCUUCAUAAAGAGAUCGAUGAAGACAAAGGUAACAAGAUUAUGAUUCGCGCCAACAAUAAUACAAUGAAGAGCAAGCUCAAGUGCUCUUAUCGAAUAAAUUUUACCAAAUCCGACAACAUUGGAUCGCUGUUGGGAUUUUUCUCGAAUCGUGUGCUUGAACCUCGACAAUGGCACUAAUCGAACUUACCUAUAAAUAUAAUCAAUGUAAACACCAGCGGACAUUUUACAUUCGCAUAGAAUGUAAAAUGUCCGCUGGUGCAUAUAGCAACGACAAGUGCGUGCAUACGAUACAUGAAUUUUCACUGAGUGUUCCUCCCGGGUAUAAAAUCUUGGAAAAGCCUGCACAAAUCAUUUACCUUUUGAUCGUCGUACGGAGCAUUACUGACUUGACUAUUCGCAUUGUGGAUCAAAACGGUCGAUUAAUUGAUUUCCGCGGAGAAGAGAUUACUGUUAGAUUGCACAUACGAAGACAAUAAUGUGAGAUGCUCGUGCUAAAUGAACAAGAGCGAGACACAAUUUGCAACAAGAAAAUCAUGACAAUCAAAAAGACAGCAAUCAA